rnacentral:rRNA from 1 species
UACGUAGGGUGCGAGCGUUAUUCGGAAUUACUGGGCGUAAAGCGUGCGCAGGCGGCGCGUUAAGACAGGUGUGAAAGCCCCGAGCUUAACUUGGGAAUUGCGCUUGUGACUGGCGUGCUGGAGUGUUGCAGAGGGAGGUGGAAUUCCACGUGUAGCAGUGAAAUGCGUAGAGAUGUGGAGGAACACCGAUGGCGAAGGCAGCCUCCUGGGCCAGCACUGACGCUCAUGCACGAAAGCGUGGGGAGCAAACAGG